UUUUUUUUUUGUGUAUUGUAUAUCCUGUUCUUUAACCCCAAAGCUGCAGCAAAUUGUAUACUUGUAUACAUUUUAUUAACUUGUCUCAAAUACCCACAAAUAUUAAAAUAAAAGCUUAAAAUUGAUAAAUAGGGAAAUCCAAUUUUACUAGUACACAAAAACAAUGUAUAGUGGUUUUUCUCCAUUUUAAUAUAAAUUACACAAUUUAGGCAACGGUCAUUGCAUUUUAAAAAUCUUUAGUAUUGACUGAUCUUUUUUUAGGCUUUGCCAGAUUUAAAGGGGUGCUGGGGAAAUUGUAACCUUGUGUUUUGGGAUAUGUUUGUUUUACUUGUGGGAUUAUUUUUUAUUUUUAUUGUUUGUUUUAAUAUCUAAUUUUUUUAAAUUUUUUUUUUUAAAUCUAUAAGUAUAUUACCUGUAUUUCAAAGUUAGACUAUUGCUCUGCUGUGUAUUUUAGUCUUUUUAAGCCAGUAUUUAGUAGAAGUCAGAUUGGUUGCAACAUACUACAGACAUUUUAAUUUUAUUUUUUAAUAGAAUGUGUCAGUUUUUGCAUCUUCCAACUGCUAAAUUGCUUAAUGGUCCGUUUCAACAAAGUUCAUUUUUGUUUAUUUUGCAAAAUAUGUCUGGGCUAGACCUAUAUUAAUUAUUAUUAUUUUUUUAUAUACAUUAAGCAUAAAAUUUGGCAUGGGUGAUAUGCUGUGGUCAUGUGUUUUAGCUAAAACUGAAUUAAAGUAACAGUAAAUAUCUUUAUGAAAGCUGCAGACAAAUAUUUGACAUCUUACUUUUCUAUGUUGUUAGUGAAACAAACAUGAUCUGACCUCAUAGGCCUCCUGAAUAUAUUAAUAUAGAUUUUUUUUUUUAUUAUUAUUAUUAUUUUUUUUUUUUUUUAAUAAGCUAUAGAAUUUUGCCUUUGUGUUGAUAAAGAGGGGAGCAAAUUCAAGUGUACAGGAUUCUAAUUUAGGACUUCCUAUCACUUUAAGGGUGUUAGAACUUGGUUCUAAACAUACUUUUUCUAUAGAAGUGUAAUGAACAACUUAACUAAGCCAUAUAAACUACAGACCUAAAUAUCUGCCAUAACAUAUUGGAUCUCCUUGGUCACCAUUCUCAUUCUGCAUUUCUGACCUUGAAUAUGUCAUUAUGAAAAACAUCAUAACAUUUUAUUCCCAUCAUAAUUUUAGAUUUAUUUUGGGAUGGGAGGUGAGAAAUAUGUCUACACUAUUUAAAACUAAUUCUUUUCCAAUUAAUCUUUUUUUUUUUUUUUUUGCCUAUAUCAGCUGCUUAAUUAUUGGCCAAACUAUCAGAUAAAAUAUAUUGUAUAGACCCAUCGCACACAAACCUGUGAUUGCUUGUGUGAAUCAAGUGAAAUGUGUUGUGCUAGUGAAUUCACCAGCAGAUUACUUUACACACAGAUCUGUUUAUAUCUGCUGUUUACUACUGCCAAAUGUGUACUCAUCAACAGGGUGGCCCAAAUGGUAAGACCUCAAAUGUUGUUGUAGUUCUAAAACCCGAGGAUCUUCAUUUUGUGCACCCCUGAUUUAUAAUCUAUUUUAAUGAUCACUUGGGGUGGAAUUUAAAAUAUUGGCAUAUUACAGUUAAAAAAACAAAAAAAAAACAUAACCAGCACUUAUGGGAAAAAAAUCUAAUUUUAAUACAAAAUGAUGUAUAAAUUGGGAGAUUUAUUUUUAGCUCACUACUGCAUGAACCUACCUGCUUUGUUUGUGAUAUUUUUCACAUUACCUCAGCUGUAAUCUGCUUUAAAUCAAGAAGGCUUAUUCCAUAUUUAUUUUACAGAUCUAUUUUUUUUUGGUUUCUGAUCUACAGACCCUGUAUAUAAUAUUACAGUAAUUAUACACUUAUAGCAAGUCAACAUUUAUCUGACGUUCCUUUACUUGUGGGUUUUAUCCCUAAAACGUGAGAUGAGUCAAAAAGCUUUUUUUUAAUCCUGAAUAAUCGUGGAAAUUUCACACUAAUCUCAUCUGUAUUUGGUGCAUAAACUCCUUUUUGGAUGUGACAGAUAAUUAAACCGGAGUAACUGAAAUAUUUUUAUAACCGUUUUAAUGAACAUAUUUGUUUAUAAGGCAACUGCAUCACCUGUAAUUAUAACACAUGUUACCGGUGGAACAUCAUUUCAAAACCUUUCCAGUCCAAUAAUAAUUAGUAGGAUAUGUGUAGUAUAAGGACAUUUUUAUUCUGAAUACAGAAGAUGCACUGUGCGGACAACCAUUGUUGGGCAUAUACUAGAUGAUCCCUCAGUUGUUUUUUUGAGGGUGAAAGGGGUAUUUUUCAUGAUAGAUAUUUUUCAUUUCUGUUAAAUGUCUCCCACCACAUUAUUUUUUUUUAAUAUAAAUGAAAACCAGGUUAAAGCCUAUAUUCCAGCCCCUCCUAUUUAACAAACUCUAUUUGAUGUUUUCUUUUGUUCAACUCUGCUCAAAGAAAUGUGUGCCACCAGAUUUUGUCACCCCAGUACAACUCUAUCGAUAAUAUCCUACACUAUAAUAGGCACAGCCUUUGUAUGCAUCCCCUGUCCUUAUUUAAGAACAUGUUGGCUAUUGGGUAAUGUCAGUAAAUUAAGGCAUUCAAAAAAGGAAUACAUUUGUAAAGAAUUUUUUAAUUUUUUUUUUAUUCCCUUCUGAAUUUAGUCUCUCCCCCUUGUGAUUUAAUAACACAUCUUGUAUCAGACGAUCUUUAAAAUCUAUGAAAGAAUGCCACUUUAGAAAGGGGGAUUUUUAAAAUUGUAAUGCAGAACAUGUCCAAAAAAUUGAGCCUUUAAUAAUGGGUAAAAAAAUAUAUAUAUUUUGUUUUUAUAUAUACUUCAAAAUGCAGUGUACAUGGUUGAAGAAAAAUCCUUUAGCGGACUCAAUAUAGCACUAAAUAGAACCAUUUAUAUUAAGGGACAUUAAGUUGUAAAUGUGUAGAAUUGUCACAAAGGCAGUUUUUAUACUGGUGUAUAUUGUGCACAUUAUUUUCUUUUCCUUUUUCAUAUUUCUUCUCCUAAAAUUUACACCACACUAGUCUUUAAGAGACGUUUAGCCUUUUUGGUUUUCUGGGGGUUUUUUUUGUUUGUUUUUUUGUUUUUGUUUUUUUUAUUUCUCUGCCAAUUAGGGCUGCUACAAUCGGGAAGAAGAAAAAAAUAAAGCAAUUAACAAAAAUGUAUCUAGCCCCUCUGUAAAAUGUCAGUUGAGAUCAUGCUAUAAAAUGCAUAACUUUAUUUUUUACAAUGUUUCUUUUAUCUCUGAUGUGCAUGCAAGUUUACUGUAACUUUUUCUCAAGAUUUUUAGUGCUGUCCAUAGUAUAUUACUGUAUAUGUCAGUUAUAUUGAUAACAAGUCAAUGUAAGUAGUUAGCUUGUUUAUUGCAAUGCUGGCCUCAACACAACAUUAUGAAAAGAGAAAAAAAAAAUCUUAAAGGUAGAAAGUACUUGUUGUUCUGAUAAUUAUUAGCCUUAAAGGGCAUUUUUGGUUUUUUUCAUAAUAAACAAGUGGAAAAAA